CUCUUCCCAUCUGGGUUGGUGCAGGCUUGCUGGGCUGGUGCAGCCCGUGCCUCCUGUCACAUCAGAAACAAGCAUGUCUCAAGGAGCUGUCACG